rnacentral:lncRNA from 10 species
UAGCUACUCACUCGCAGAGCUUAUGGGAAAGACAGAUUUGCAAACAAUGACUAUAAAGUAUGGUAGGGGAAGUUGGGUCUAAGUGACCCUAAUCUACCCAGAGAGCAUCCAGGAAGGCUUCCCGAAAGAAGUGCCAAUCAAGGAAAGGUUUGCUGGCUCCUGCCUUAGAAGAUGAGAAAGUUUGUGAUGGAUGGAGAAGAGGAUCUUCCAGAAAAUAACCAGGGCUUUCCAGCCACUGGAUCCAAAGGUGAAGAAGAAGUCGUGACUUGAGCACAUCUGCUUCUUUCUCCUGGCUUCUUGGGUUAUUUGCAGUGUCCUCUCUCUCUUUACUUCCUAAGCUUUAAAAAUUAAAGGUCUGUGAUUCCAACUAUAUGACACUGGGGAACGGGGAAACUGUGGGGAUGGCAGAAGGAUUAGAGGUUGCUGCAGACUGGGGUGGGGAGGGAAAGCUGGGUAGGCAGAACAUGGAGGAUGUGUAGGACUGUGAAAGGACUCUGCGUGACACUGUGAUGGGGGACACAUGUCAUUAUAGGUUUGUCCAAACUGUCGAAUGUACAACACCAAGAGUGAGCCCUGAUGUUGACUGUGGACUCUGGGGGGUGAUGCUGGCUCCGCGGAGGGUCACGGGUCAUGAGCAAUGCACCGCUGUGUGGGGGAGGUGAAUGGUGGGAGAGGCGGUGGGGAGCGGGGCUGGGGGUGUAGAACAACUCUCUGUACUUUCUACUCAAUUUUGC